UUUCUUCUUGAAAAAAUAAAGAAGGGUCCCCUCUGUCGCCCCUGCCACAUGGAUGCUCCUCACGGGCUUGAGAUGGCAGCUUAUCUCAGAGCAUGGGAUGAUUUUUAACCAGGGAAUUCUCUUGAAGACUAAGUGGAGAAGAGAUGGAGACACACGGUGAGCCAUCAGGGCAGAAGGAAACACCCGGGGAAGCAACACUGCAUUGUCUGGGGGCAGUAACCCAGGCAGAUGUAUCGACAAGUGCCAUGGCAACGCCAGGUGGGAGUUGACCCUGGAGACAGGUGUCUACAAGUGGCCAGAUUGUCCCACCCAAGUGCGAUGGAGGAUGUAAGACCAUAAAUGCAGAUGUGAGUGACUUCUGACUGAAGCUAAGCAGACUCAACAAACCCAGCUGCAGUGGAAUGUGUACUAUAAUAAGUCUGAUUAUAUUCAGGAGGAAGUAGCUGCAGAGGAAAUCAGAAGCAUUUUAUCCCAUCGAGGAGGACACAGCAGAGAACUCUGCUGCUCCAGGAUGCAGGCCCUGAGCAGCCAUUCAAGGAUGGCACCGAAGAUGGAACAGAGCUGCUUUGGAAAGGUCUCUAGCCAGCAGUGUGAGAGGAUGGACUGAGGUGGAGGCUGCCACAGGGAUGGAGGAGUCUUAGAAGCUACUCCAAAUGAAGUAUGGGUGUUAUGUCCAGAUGCUACCCAGGGGCUGAAUCAUGGGAAUCAGGGACGAACAGACAGGUAAGACCCCAGUCAUUUCCUAGGAGGGAAGGGGACUUCAUGAGGUGCCUCACAACUCUUCUGGUUCCAAUGGCAAAAGUUCGGCCUUGGUUGUCCUACUUACUCCAGAGAGGUCAGACUUCUGUUGACCAGGAGGGAUCUGGCCAGAGCUUUGGCCCCUUUGUUACUGAUCUGGUUCUCUGCCAAGCUGCCCAAGGAAAGGGAGAGGAGUGGUUAUUUUGGGCAUGCACAUCUCAUGGCCUCUUCCUCAACACCGUGCCCAUGAUUAUUCCUGUAGGCCUCCCCACAUCAUCAGGGUCUGGACACAGCUGGAGAUGAGGUGACCCCUGGAGCAGAAUGCCAGGUACAGCAGAGCCCCUGAGCCUGGGCAGCAUAGGGCCAGAGUAGGAGGACAGACUCUCACCAUGGCAAAGGGUCCCUGAAAAAAGUUUAACCAGAAUCCAGCACAACAGCUUCUACACAAACAGCACAGCAAAGAAAAUGGAAAUCUCAGAAGCCUAACAUGCAAAUGGCAGCCAGUGGUGUGCUGGUAAACUGGCUCCCAGAAAAACAAAAUUUCAAAAACUGGGCUGUGCAUGGUGGCUCAUGCUUAUAC